AACGAACGCUGGCGGCAGGCUUAACACAUGCAAGUCGAGCGCCUCGCAAGGGGAGCGGCAGACGGGUGAGUAACGCGUGGGAACAUGCCCAAAGGUACGGAACAACUCCGGGAAACUGGAGCUAAUACCGUAUGUGACCGAGAGGUGAAAGAUUUAUCGCCUUUGGAUUGGCCCGCGUUGGAUUAGCUAGUUGGUGGGGUAAAGGCCUACCAAGGCGACGAUCCAUAGCUGGUCUGAGAGGAUGAUCAGCCACACUGGUACUGAGACACGGCCCAGACUCCUACGGGAGGCAGCAGUGGGGAAUAUUGGACAAUGGGCGCAAGCCUGAUCCAGCCAUGCCGCGUGUGUGAUGAAGGCCUUAGGGUUGUAAAGCACUUUCGCCAGGGACGAUAAUGACGGUACCUGGAUAAGAAGCCCCGGCUAACUUCGUGCCAGCCGCCGCGGUAAUAC
rnacentral:rRNA from 1 species